UAAGUAAGCUUUGAUCCAGAGAUUUCCGAAUGGGGAAACCCAGCAUGAGUUAUGUCAUGUUAUCGAUAUGUGAAUACAUAGCAUAUCAGAAGGCACACCCGGAGAACUGAAACAUCUUAGUACCCGGAGGAAGAGAAAGAAAAUUCGAUUCCCUUAGUAGCGGCGAGCGAAACGGGAAGAGCCCAAACCAACAAGCUUGCUUGUUGGGGUUGUAGGACACUCUAUACGGAGUUACAAAGGACGACAUUAGACGAAUCAUCUGGAAAGAUGAAUCAAAGAAGGUAAUAAUCCUGUAGUCGAAAAUGUUGUCUCUCUUGAGUGGAUCCUGAGUACGACGGAGCACGUGAAAUUCCGUCGGAAUCUGGGAGGACCAUCUCCUAAGGCUAAAUACUCUCUAGUGACCGAUAGUGAACCAGUACCGUGAGGGAAAGGUGAAAAGCACCCCGGAAGGGGAGUGAAAUAGAACCUGAAACCGUGUGCUUACAAGUAGUCAGAGCCCGUUAAUGGGUGAUGGCGUGCCUUUUGUAGAAUGAACCGGCGAGUUACGAUUUGAUGCAAGGUUAAGCAGUAAAUGUGGAGCCGUAGCGAAAGCG
rnacentral:rRNA from 1 species